GUCGGAGCUAGGGAUCGGCGUACGCUCAGUACACGUGGGUAAAGAGAUGUGGGGAAACCGGGAAUGAAAAAAGAAAAAAUCACAUGUCUGGACGGUUGUGGAUCAAGCUCCGGCGGCUAGGAUGGGCCUGCGGCUUUUCAGGUUGUAGGGGGUGUAACGUACCCUCUAGCCAUCAACGGGUACGGGUGUUGGGAGACAUAGCCCGGAGAUGGAUUCUGAGACACGAAUCCAGACCCUACGGGGUGCAGCAGGCGCGAAAACUUGGCAAUGCGAGAAAUCGUGACCAGGGAACUCCAAGUGGCUGGGGUAAGACCCAGUCUUUUCUUGACUCUUCAAAGGUCUUGGAAUAAGGGGUGGGUAAGGAUGGUGUUCUACCGCCGCGGUAAUACCGCCGCCUCAUUUGGUAGUGGAUUUUAUUGGGCCUAAAACGUCCGUAGCCUGUUUGGUAACAUUCGUGGGUAAAUAAACCAGCUCAACUGGUUGAAAUCUGCGAGCAAGGCCAGAACUUUGGGACCCGGCAGAGGUGUGGGGAUACGCUCAAGGGUAAGGGGGUAAAAAUCCCUUGUCAUCCCCUGAAGCGGAACCACCCUGAUUGACGAA
rnacentral:rRNA from 1 species